AUGGGUGCCUGCAUCCCCAAACAGCUCCCUUCGACACCACUGAGCGUAGACAGCUUACUGAUGGUGCAGAAGAGCUUGGAGUCUGGCAACCGGGAAGCGGAUGAGAUGGCGAGAGCUUGCUUAGACCACGCGCUCCGAGAGUUUCCUCGCGAACCACGCCAACUCCAAGACAAUGCUACCUUGACUGUUCAAGUGAAAGGGAGGGAAAGGAUGGUGUUUGUCUCUGGCACCGGUGAGAACAAGAUAGCCGUCUCUUGGCUAAAGAGGAAAACGUACUAUAGCGUUGAGAUCCCCAAUCUGGACAUGUACUUGGACCGGCUGUCACUCUCCCCACCUCCUCUGACCUCUGAGAACUUGCAGAAGGUGAGGCAGGAGCUCAUGAAGUGGGAUGAGGCCACCAAGGAACUCUGUGCUUGCCUGGACGUUGCCCUGCUGGAGACCGAGAAGGAACCAUCUUCAGUGAUGGAUGAUGCUCAACUGACGAUUCAGUGCGGUGGUUCCUGCUUGGAUUUCAUUUCUGGGAAAGGACGGUCCCACAUCUACAUCCUCUAUACGGAAAGGCAACCUCGGUACAGGGUUCGCGUUCCCUGUGUGGAUGUUUAUUUCGACCGACUGAGCUGUCGCCCCAUGCCGCUCACCACAGAGAACUUGCUGAAAAUGUGGAAAGAAAUCGAGAACUUGAAAGGAUGUACGGUGGACCUCCGGGCCUGCCUGAAGCGAGCCAUGCAAGAAUUUAAUGCUUUGUCCCCACAACGCCGGGCAAAUGCCACUGUCUUCAUCGACUGUGACGGGAAGAACUUCAAGAUAGUUUCCGGGCAUGGAGAAAGCUGGAUCUCUAUUUUCAACAUUGUUGGAGACCAACAUUGUCGGAGGGAAGUAGUUCUUGCUUUGGGGGACAGGCCUUCGUCCAGCAGAGCAACGAGGUCACUGGGUGGAAGAUCUGGGAAAGAAGGGACAUCCUUUCGAGUGAGGAGAUCGGAAGGGAAGAGAGGGGCGGAGGAGGGCCCAUCCAAUCAGGCAAGGAGGAUGUCCAAUAGACCCCCUGAGCUGUCAGAUGAGAAAAGCUCUAAAAGAUGGCCACCCGAUGUGGUUGAGUUAAAAGUAUUCACGUCAGACGGCAGGAAAGAAGAGGAAGAAACAACAUCAUUUGGAGGAAGGACAUUGUCAGGUGGCAGGAAGACGGACACGGGGCCAUCCAGUAGUUCUAAGGCAAUGGGAAAAGAACAUCCUUUUGGGUUAAAGGUAUCCACCAAGAGAAGAAAAAUGUCUGGCGAGACAGGAAUGGAGAUUGAUGGACCAGUGGAUUUACCCAGUGGAACAGCAACAGAAGAAGUAUACUUCUCCGGGAAGAGUGAGGAGAUGCCGAAAGGAGAAGAACCAGCCCAUGCAGCACAGGAUGAUGAUGAAGAGUCUCCUGAUUUUCCAGAGGUGUCUUCAAGUAAUCCACAGGGAAAUACUGGUCCAGAAAGGUGA
rnacentral:lncRNA from 1 species